CUACAAGAGCGUUUCAAGCUAUGUUCAAACAGGCCAAUUAGCUGAGGCAAUUAAGCUUUAAAUUGCGGUAUUGAGUUUGGUGUUUACACAUACGUCAGCUG